GCUAAUCUGGUAGAUCAUGGCGCCUGGACACAUGGCAAUGGUGGAGUAGUGGGCUGAUAAAAAGUAUUGAGAAGACACGGUCUAUAGGACUCGCUGAUGGAUUGGAUCUGAAGACCUAAUUGGAGCCAAGCUGACAAGGGAGUCUGAGAAAUGUGGUUUUCAGAUUUCCAGCCCUGGCGGUGCAGAGAAGAUAUAGAAAAGUGGAUGUGGGAAUGAGCACCAAUAGACAAUAUCUGCUACGUGUAUUCACAUGCAUUGUAACUCUUGGUUGCAUGUAAUAAAACCCAACUUAGGCUGGCA